rnacentral:rRNA from 1 species
AACGAACGCUGGCGGCGGGCCUCAUACAUGCAAGUCGAGCGCGAAAGUCCGCAAGGAUGAGUAAAGCGGCGCACGGGUGAGUAACACGUGGAUAAUCUACCCUUUGGAUUGGAAUAACCUGUCGAAAGACGGGCUAAUGCCGAGUAAGCUUACGAGUUCGUGAAGUUCUUGUAAGGAAAGAUGGCGCAAGCUAUCGCCGAUGGAUGAGUCUGCGUCCCAUUAGUUAGUUGGUGGGGUAAUGGCUUACCAAGACUAUGAUGGGUACCUGGUCUGAGAGGAUGACCAGGCACACUGGAACUGAAACACGGUCCAGACUCCUACGGGAGGCAGCAGUAGGGAAUAUUGCGCAAUGGACGAAAGUCUGACGCAGCCACGCCACGUGAGUGAGGAAGGCCUU